AGUGAACGCUGGCGGUAGGCCUAACACAUGCAAGUCGAACGGCAGCACAGUAAGCGCUUGCUCUUACGGGUGGCGAGUGGCGGACGGGUGAGGAAUACAUCGGAAUCUACUUUUUCGUGGGGGAUAACGUAGGGACACUUACGCUAAUACCGCAUACGACCUACGGGUUAAAGCAGGGGAUCUUCGGACCUUUCGCGAUUGAAUGAGCCGAUGUCGGAUUAGCUAGUUGGCGGGGUAAAGGCCCACCAAGGCGACGAUCCGUAGCUGGUCUGAGAGGAUGAUCAGCCACACUGGAACUGAGACACGGUCCAGACUCCUACGGGAGGCAGCAGUGGGGAAUAUUGGACAAUGGGCGCAAGCCUGAUCCAGCAAUACCGCGUGGGUGAAGAAGGCCUUCGGGUUGUAAAGCCCUUUUGUUGGGAAAGAAAAGCAGCAGGUUAAUACCCCGCCGUUCUGACGGUACCCAAAGAAUAAGCACCGGCUAACUUCGUG
rnacentral:rRNA from 1 species